rnacentral:misc_RNA from 1 species
GAUGAAGAACGCAGCGAAAUGCGAUAAGUAAUGUGAAUUGCAGAAUUCAGUGAAUCAUCGAAUCUUUGAACGCACAUUGCGCCCGCCAGUAUUCUGGCGGGCAUGCCUGUUCGAGCGUCAUUUCAACCAUCAAGCCCUGCUUGCGUUGGGGUCCUGCGGCUGCCCGCAGGCCCUGAAAACCAGUGGCGGGCUCGCUAGUCACACCGAGCGCAGUAAUACAUCUCGCUUUGGGCGUGGCGGGUUCUUGCCGUUAAACACCCCCUUUUUACCAAGGUUGACCUCGGAUCAGGUAGGAAUACCCGCUGAACUUAAGCAUAUCAAUAGCGGAGGA